GCCAAGAAAUAUAACUGCGGAAUCAUUUGCGGAGUCGCUUACGGGUGAAGACUUAAUAGGAUUUUUAGAACUCAACAAUAACUUUCCCUAUUCUGGAUGUGGAUGUAACGACGGAUACUGGCGCGAUUGGAAUCGAAAGUGCGUUCUACCCAUUGAUUGUUACAACAAGGGAUUGCCCCCAAUUCUAGGUGAUCGGGAAUAUUUAGUUCGCAAACGAGAGAAAGCUAUUCGGGACAACAACAAUUCAAUGAACGUAUACUUUCCUGGACAAAAGCCGAAAGCGGU